rnacentral:rRNA from 1 species
GAUGAACGCUGGCGGCGUGCUUAACACAUGCAAGUCGAACGGUGAACACGGAGCUUGCUCUGUGGUAUCAGUGGCGAACGGGUGAGUAACACGUGAGCAACCUGCCCCGGGCGCGGUGAUAAGCGCUGGAAACGGCGACUAAUACUGGAGAUGUGACGUGACCGCAUGGUCUGCGUCUGGAAAGAUUCUUCGGUUGGGGAUGGGCUCGCGGCCGAUCAGCUUGUUGGUGAGGUAAUGGCUCACCAAGGCGUCGACGGGUAGCCGGCCUGAGAGGGUGACCGGCCACACUGGGACUGAGAGACGGCCCAGACUCCUACGGGAGGCAGCAGUGGGGAAUAUUGCACAAUGGGCGCAAGCCUGAUGCAGCAACGCCGCGUGAGGGAUGACGGCCUUCGGGUUGUAAACCUCUUUUAGCAGGGAAGAAGCGAAAGUGACGGUACCUGCAGAAAAAGCGCCGGCUAACUACGUG